GCCGGCGUAGCUCAGUGGUAGAGCAACGGUUUUGUAAACCGUAGGUCAGUGGUUCGACCCCACUCGUCGGCU
rnacentral:tRNA from 2 species